UUUUUUUUUUUUUUUAAAGACAUAAGUGCCCCUUUUGUGGUGCUGGGGGAGCCCUGAUGGCCCAGAGAAAGGCGCUCCUCGAGGCAGGCGUGUGACCCGUGUGCAGUGCCAGCAUCCCAAGGGCAGGGAACACCCACGCCCAGCUGCACCCACCAGCAGUGACAUUUCAAAGGGACAAGCCAAGAGACUUCCACUGGAGCAAAGCACGGGCAAAUCAAUUUUCAACAAGCAAGGGAGAGCACAGGGGGCUUGGUUACAAGCGAGGAGGCACGUGCCUCUGAAGGGAGCCUUCUUUGAGGAAGUAAACAGAUACAAUAAUUGGUAAGUGUUUUGGCUUUGCCUCAUCUCUAAUCCCAUCACACGCUGUUCCUUGCCAGCGCAUACAUGAAAAGUGUCUAUUUUGGAUACUGGGGCACAACAGAGAAGAGAAAAAACCCACAGUUCCCAGAGAGAUAGCUGGCCAAAUCCAGGUGCACUCACUCUUCUUGAAGCACUAAUACAUCGACCUCGAGCUUUUAAACUAUAUUGCUCUCUGCUUAAGAUGUUGGUCUUUUGUUGUACGUUUAAGUUUUGGGGUUUUUUGGUACUAAAUGCAGUAAAAUCUUGCACAGAAAAUGAAAUUUACAUUACUAGGGAUCUCAGACUUAGUGCUGCAGGUGUGGAAGAAUUCACAUGACUUUUCCUUCUCAUUUCAGCAUUACUUCUCAGGGGUAACUCUGAAAUGUUUUUUUCAAAGGGAGCAGAUUGCCAGGUACAGGUUCAUAACCACUGGUAACUGCGGAGAAUGCCCACUGGUUUUGGGGUCCAACUCUAUAUCCAGAAGCUCCUUACAGCAGCAACUCACAGGACAACCCCCCCUCACUUGCAGAAUGUCAUUAAUUAAACUCGACAGGAUUUGGCAACAUGAAGCUGAGCUAGCUGUCCUUAAAAUUGCUACUAGUUUAGAGCCAUAAGAAUAGGUUUAAGAAAGCCAAUUCACUUGCUAAAGAGAUCAGAAGAAAGUCACAGCAACAUUCAGAACAGCUGGAUGCUGCAGGCACACCCUGGUGCUGGUGCCUGCGGGUGUUCAGUGCACAACCACCAGUCCCCUGUUACAGGAGGAGCUUCUCAUCUACAAAUUUUAGACCUCUCAUACCAAAGCCAUCAAGCAAAUGUAAGAGUUAACUGAAAUACGUGGUUAAAAACCUUUCCAUUGUGGCUGGGGAGCCUUGACUGUGACUCAAAACUGAUUGUAAAAAGCUCCUGAACAGGGAGGUAAGAGCUGUCUCCUAGCCUCGCUCAGUGAGACACUCGCUCAGUGAGACACCCUGACCCUGGAGCCAUCUCCCCUUUCCUCUGCCUUGAGGGGAAGUCCAGACCAAGGACCCACUGUUUAGACUGAUGAAGCUAACUGAACUCCAUAUUGGGAGAAUAAGGAAUCAUUUUGCUAAAUACUUCUAAUGAGACACUUCAGUGAGAAUGAGAUGUUACCAGUAUGCUCUGUGAGUGUCCAGGUUCAUGCCUGCCCUUCAGCACUGCACAGGGCACAAGAAUUUCUUGGCAAAGGGGAAAUUCUAUCCCUUUAAAAACACUUUUAAUGAGCAAGAGGCUUCUGGCUGUCAGGCAGUAGCUCAGCAGCGCUGCUUACAUUCAAAGCUAUGCCUGGAAUAGUGAAGUAAUAGCAAAUUUCAUUAAAAGUAAAAUCUUUGGUUGCUGUGGAAAUCAUUCAGGUGGGAGACUGUUUCUGGAGGCUGUAUUGGGAUGUACUUCAUUUCUUUCACCCAAACUAAAGUGUUUCCUUCCGGGUAUGAAUUUACUCAAGCAGGACAGGCGACAGGAGAGGAAGAGCUCAACCUGAUGACUGAUUCCAUUCACCUCCUGUGCACUGCACAGACCACAGGCAAGAGAGGCACAGGUAACACAAGAUCCUGACCACAGCUUUUAAAGAAACCCUUAUGUUUGCAUCCCACCAGGUCAGAGCUUCAGGGGCUAUAAUCCCAUCCACACCACCCUACAGCACAGCUCAUACUGUGCUUUGCAAACAGUCUCUUUAGAUGUAUUUUUAAGCACUGAAGCCCUGAUUGGUGCCUGCAAACAACUGACUGUAAUCUGGCAUUGAUGUAAUACUGAUACCUGACCAGCUAUAAAAUAAUUCUGUUUGGAAAACACACUUCAAAGUUAUAGAAAGUAUGAAAGUAUCAGAAUUUCCCAACAGUUCUGAGCAUAGUGCUAUAAAAUGAUAGUGUGCUCGUGACUGUUUGUCUGAAAACAUUACCCGUCACCAAAAUUAGAGCACAGGAUAAAUCCUGGGCUGGUGCAGAUCAGGAGAUCUCUGCUGGCUUACAGGAGAUGUUUUAUUUAGCACCGAGCACACCUGCUGUUUCUUUGGAGAGCUGUAAAUUCAUUCUGUAAUGUAGCUGCAUCUACAAGCCAAAUUUAUGCAUUUUAAGACAAAACUACUAUCAAAUGUUUUGAAAUUAAAUUGCAGUUUGUGUUCUUUUUGAAGGCAAUAAUACCAUAAAAGUAUAAAGACAUCCAAAACUUUAUGUAACUAGUAUUACAUAACACCUUAAACUGGCUCAUAAGCAUUUUUCUUAGUCUAGAUUUAUUGCACUUUUAUUUGGGGCAUGUGAAACAACUCGCUAUACAAGUGCAGUUACAUGGGGCUGGGCUGCAGGUGGGAAAGAGUUCACUGAUAGAAAUUCUAAAGUGAGAAACUUACUGCUAUGUUUGCAAAGAAACACUGUCAGAAGGAAAAAUGUUUCAUUGUUUCUCACUGCCCUUGAUGGCCAUUGAUACAAAAAUUAAAUGAAGCCCUGGAAGGGGGUUAGAGGUAGCCUUAGUUUAAAAAGCUGACUAUACACAGCCCCUCCAACUGCACAGAGCUUUAAUGCCAUAAAUACGUGUGAAUGUUCUCAUUCAGGCUGUAAUUUAUUCCCCAAGGAGAUGCAAAACUAGCUCAAAUAUGCUGCAAAAAAACCAAACUCUUCCAAUGAAGUGAGUGCAGUAUGUGAAUCUGGAGCUAAAUUUAGGCUGGGACUUGGAGUAAAGUAAUUCUAAUCUCAAAGUAGCACUUUUAGUUGCAGUAACAAACACCGUGCAAAGAUUCGGGGAAGUUCUACUCCUUUGUUACAAUCUAUUGUGCAUGACAUUUUGGGAGCUCUUUACUGACUCAGAAAUUCGGCUUAAAUUACUCAGUUGAAAUUUAUUGUUCAGUGAAAUAGCUUAAAACCCCCCUUCAUUUAGGUUAUCUCUAAAAUGUGAAUUUAGGCUGGUUUUGGGGUGUGUACAGCAGCCCACAUCCUUAACAUACUGAAAGCUUGAUGUAAACCAUUAACUGUAGGACUGAAUAAGCCACAAGAUGGAAAAACUGGAUACUGUAAAUAUCUGAUUAGGGUAUUUUUCCAAAUGACAUUAUUUUUUUGAUGUUAUGGUCCAAGGUAAAAUAAAAUGUGAUUAAGCACCUUUCUGUUUCUUGUUCUGUAUAACUGUUAUUAGCAUGAAAAUGCUUUUCUUCUCCAGAAAUAUUUCCUUCAAAAUUAACAGAUGAAGUCACAAUUAUACAAAAUAUCUCUGUAGUCAAAGCAGAUUUUUUAAUACAAAGUAAUUUUAUAUGCAACUGAUACUUCAAGUCUUUUAUAGUAUCCUUCAAGAGUAAAAUAGACCCAUAAUGCAGGAAUUGAGGAAAACUUUAUCUUUCUUUUAAAAAUCAAAAUAGCAUUUACAGUUUUAAAUCAAGUAUAUUUUAACUGAACUACAUUCAAAUUCUUUAUGGAACAAUCUCUCAUUUCAUACAAGAUUUUUCAUGCAUAUUCUGGCUUCCAAAUCAGUUUGCCACAACUUGUUUCACUGGAAUUCAUCAAAAGACUAAAAAGCCAAGUGCCAAGGAGCCGAGUUCUGGCUGCAGCAGGAACUGCCCAACCAAUCCCCGCAGCCUGGAAAGCCCCAGUUCUCAGAAUUAGCUGAUGCCUUGCACAAGAGAUCAUAAUCAAAAUCAUGAUUCCUGACAAAGUCUCAAUAUUUCACUCUAUAAAUUCUUAAUUCAUUUUCCAGCCAUGUGUAGGUUACUGCUAGCUCCACCCUCUCAAAUAUCAGCAAUUGCUGCUGCUCUUAAAGAAAAUUCCACUUUGGGGAAAUGUGAUAUUAUUCCAGAUGUUUCAGUCCACGGCAGUUCUGCCUAACCCAACCUGAUCGUCGCUCUGUAAUGCAGCUGAGCCUUGAACAGCUUCUGGAAUUUAUUCCUCAAACUACUGCACUUGCAUAUUUGAAUUUAACCCUACCAACAGUCAUAUACUCAAAAGUCCUGUUCUUUGUAACAACAGAGCCACCCCUAAAGAGUUUUUUUCCAACAACAUAAAACCAUGACUAAUUUUAGCAGGCCUUUGGGCCACUGUACAUUAGUUCCUACAGCCUGCUGAUUGAAUUAAAGUGUUUUAAAUUGAGUUCCUCAACAUACUUCAAAAGCUAUCAUGCAGAGAGAUUUUGUUGAAUCAAAUCUGCUUUCAAAUUUUAUAGUUUGAGGAAAUUCCAUACUUGGAAUGGGAAAAGAAAAAAAAAAAAAAGUGAAGUGCAUUUAUAGAGAUUCAAACCAGUUGUGAGAACUGGAAUGUUACCAUUUUCUUUCAUUCGAUUUCACCAGGAAAAGGAUGGGAAGAGAUCCUGCCCUGCCUCCAGCCAUCCAGCACUGACCCUUUCAGCAGACGGGACAGUGCAGGUGAUGUCUGCUCCUCAGAAUCCCACCUGGAGCAGUGGGCAUUACUCCAUGGGCUGACAUCUGCCCACCAUUGGCCAAGUUCUGCACAGUAACUGCCUGAGCAGGACUCCAAAGCCUUGGCCAGGUGGGAUGCUUUGUAUUUAAAAUAAUAAUAAUAAUGAAUGACAGCUCUAUCAGGCAUGACCUAGGAGUUACAACUCCAGUUCUGGACUGAUGUCACUAACAAAUCUGUAUUGGGAAAAUACUGAAAUCCUAUAAAUGUGGGCACAUCAUCCAUCCACUUGGACAUCAGGGACACUGUGAAGGACUUUCUCCCAAAGGACACAAUGAACAAAGGUCUAUUGCCUCCUGCCAUAGAAGGGAAAACCCAACAGCCUAAGCUUCAUCAAUUCACAGGCCACCGAGAUCCAAAUAAAAUUCAGGAAGCUUAUCCAAAAUCAAAUCUACCAAGCAAUGUCUUGGAAAUAUUUUGAUUCUUCAGUGCUAAAGAAAUAUGCCAUGAAUCCAAAGCCCACGAGCUGGGAAGGGGAAGCUGUCCCCAGACCAGCAUCACCCUGGCUUAUUUUCUUCAGUCUGCAGCCACAUGAUUUCUUUUCCAUGCUGCUGCUGGCUCACACCAAGGUUCACACAAACGCCCAGGCUGGCAAUGGGACCUGACAGAGGUGUUCUGCCUACAGCAAGGAAAGGUUUCCCUACCCCAGCAAUCAGACGCUCCCCUCUUUGGUAUCUGAGCAGUUGUAACCCUCCUGGCAGUACCAUCACAUAGACCCUCCUUCUUCUCACUUGCUUCCCCAGAGAAACCCCUCUAACCAAGCAAGAAUCACACUGGCAAAAAGAGACAGCAAAGUGCUUUGGGAAAGUCAUGCAGGUGCCACCUGCAAAUUUACUUUUGACAGGGUUGUCACUCAAAAUGUGGCAAAGAGCCAAAGCCUCAGAGGUGUGUCCUCAUCUGUGGGCCAGUACCAGCCAUCCUGCAGCCUCUUCCAGGCUCUCCUCCCCUCUUCCCCUCCCGCCUGGGACCUGGCACUUUUGGGUCCUCAGGAAGGGAAGUGAUGAAAUCAGCAGGAGCUGGAAGGAUUUUCUCAAGUAGGCCAGCAGUGGGAAGGAGAAGCACAUUCCCUUCCCCGCCUGGUUUGCCUCUGAGUGCUGAAGAGCUGGCCUGGAGCGGGAGCUGGCAUGGAGCACAGCCCGAGCUCGGCAUUUGCCAUCUGCAGAUGGAGCCAAGAGCAGAGGGAAAAGUGCCUGCAAGCUGGGCACACACUCACUGCUCCACUCCUGUGGGGCUCAGCCCUGUCCAAGCAGCAAGGCUCUAACACAAGCACGUCCAGCAUUCUGUGAAUGGUCUGUACUGAACAACAGAGAAGAUCCCAGGCACCAUCUGACUCCAACCUGUCCCUGAUUACAAAUAUCUGCAGUCCAGACAUCACAGGCUUGCUCUGCUCUGUGCCCUCCUGCAACUUAAAAUACAGCCCUGGCUUGAAGGUCUCUAUUUGCAAACAUAGAGGAACAGUGGUUCUUAAAUUGCAGGCAAACAUUUGACUUCACUCAGGGCAAUUCAAAGAAUAUCCUGCACGAACCCCACCCUUCUGCCUCACAACUCAAACUUUAAUGGCUAGAUAGUUUUCUUUCAGGCCUUAUCACAGAUAAAAUAUGGCCCUUUCUGUUUUUUUUGCUGAAGGAGUAAAACCUGCCAAAUAUUUACCAACUCUUUCAGAAGGCUGAAAAUGUCACCCCUACAGUGUAAUAAACUUCCCCAGAAAGGCCCUGAUAAAUAGAAAGCCUUGCUGUACUGCCCAGAACUAGUUUAGUGUGGUCUAAGUAUUGCCAAGUCUGACUGACAAAGGAAGCAUAUUUGUACACACAGAAAGAUUAGCAAGAGAGGCAUAAAGUUUAUAAGUGAAAAUAAAACAAAGCCCCAUUAUUAACCGGGGAGGGGGGAAUAAUUGAAUCUGCAUCCCAGAGAGCACAGAACAUUAUGAAAGCCUCAAAGCUAAAACAAUAAUUUAAGAACUUGUCCACAACUUGCAGCAGAAGCUUGAACCAUCUCCUUUAGCAUUUGGAAAGUGCUAAACCAUGGUCUACCCCCAACCCAGCCUUCAGAGCAAUAUUAUUUAAAAAUAAAAUAUUUUUACUUAGUAAUUUGACCCACAAAAAGUCACUUGGGGCAUGAGGGAAUGUUCCCUUCCAGCCUGAACUUUAAUUCAGAGGGAAUGUUUAAACUCCACAGUGUAAACCAGAUGCUGAGAAGUACAUCUGCAUUGUACUGUAUGUUCUUUGGGGCACAGACAGAGGUUGUAAAGUGCCUGUCAGUGCAGUGUGUGUGGCUACGAUCUAAAUAAUCCUAAUAAUGUAGAUGAAUGGAGAAAAACCCACAUUCCUAGUACCAGCCAGUCUGUCAACAGAUUUCUUGCAGCUAUAGACAACUAUAUCCAUACUAGUGCAAACAGAUGAAUAUUGCUUAAAAAAUGUGUCCUUUCAGCUUGGCAAAUGCCAUUAAGAAAAAAAACUCUAAAAGUGACUAGGGAGUUGGAAGCUCAAAGGUACACAUUUAAACAAGCCUUGGUGGUUAUAAAAUGCUGAGCACUCACUUUCUACAGAAGCCAGACUUCCACUGAAUCUUGACUGGUACACUCAAAUGAAAAGGUAGUAACUCAAAUUAUGCUCCAAAACAGGUUUCAGGGGGACAAAACUUGCCAGAGCUACUUAAAGGCAGGAAGAAACUAACUGUUGCUGGAAAAAAAAAAAAAAAAAAAUCCAGAUUAUGUUAAACCUGACAAAAGCUAAACUCAGCUGUUUACCCAGCUUAACAAAGAAUAGCACAGUUAAGAAGCUCUGGUAUUAAAGGGAAAACUUCACUUUAGCUCACCAGCAAGUCCAGGAGACCAACUAGCAACACAACCAACCUCCACAAAAAUCACUGCUUGCCAGAGAUGCCUAACAAGUUGCACAAGUUGGAAGGAGUGGGCUGAGGAGGCACAGGAAUCUGCUACCCGUCCCCCUUUCACACCAUCAGGUUUUAAUGUUAAUGAUACGGCUCCGCGUGCCUGAAGUAUUUUUACACUAUGCUCGUCUUCUUGUAGCGCCGACUUGUUCCAGGGCGGAUGAUUAGAAUCAGAUUUCUGUGAUUUCGCUGCAGAUUCAUUUUGUUAAGGGCCACAGAUCUGCAGGGAGAAGACGGCUGCAAACAGGCCAGCAGAGUGGGCUCCAAGGGGUUCUCUCCUAAACGGGGAACAGUAUCUUUGCAUUUACUCCUUACAUUCAGGUAGUUUUCCUUUUUGUGGCCACUAGACUGGGUUCUUUGGGAAAACAGGCACAUAGGGAAAAGAAACGUGCAAAAAGUUUUCCUUGAAAUUUUGGUUUCAAAGCUCCCAACCAGAAUAGGUUCAUGAAGAGAACAGGCCCAAGUAAGACCUGACUGCAUCCACCGUCCCCCAAGUAAAAAGAAGCACCUGAGGGACCACACAUAGGAGAUAAUCUUGAUCUGUCAAGGUCUGUAUGCCCUGACAUGUGUCAGAGCAAUAGCUAUUAAUACACAUAUUAGCGUGCUGCACGCAAGUGUUUGGCAAUAAAGGCUGAAGGAGAAAAAAAAGUCUGUAACAGCAUUUGUAAAUUUCUCCUAACUGCAAAAGAAAUAACACUUAUUUUUCAUGGGAAAUGGCUACAGAAAAUUGUGCUGAAAACUGAGUUUGUUCAUAAAAAUUUAAUAGGAACAGAGCAUAAAAUUUGUGUGAGUCUGUGUACACACAUACAGAAUGUAGACUCCUGCAAUUGCUACAUCACAGAGAAAAUGAAAUUCUAAGUGGCUCAAAAAAACACAGAGGGAGAUUUUAAAUUUACAUUUGCUUUUAUAGACCUUAGCCAUGAGAAUACUGUUGCCACUUCGCCUUUUUCUUUACUGGAGGUCAAUAUCAUUGACUUUUUACAAGAGAGAAGUAAAAACAUCUCGAAAUAAAUCAAAAAAUUAUGAGGACCCUCAAAAUAGUUGUAAGAACUUAAAAUGCAAUGUAACAUAACACAGAAGGGCACAGAAGUUAUAAAUACGAUGCUAUACAAGCCAAGAGUAAUAUACACACCCGGAGUUGUAUAUACACCGUGCCCAAAGAAGGAGCACAAACCAGCGCCUGCAGACGUGCAGUGUGCCGAAUCGAAAUCCGACAAAUAAUAAGGAACUCCGGAAUGCUGGGUGGUAAUAACGCUUAGGUGAGUAAGAGAAUUUCCGGCUAGAGAAAUAGCCCGGCUGCUCCGGAUG
rnacentral:lncRNA from 1 species